rnacentral:rRNA from 1 species
UACGGGGGAGCAAGCGUUGUUCGGAAUUACUGGCGUAAAGGCGCGUAGGCGGCCUGCUAAGUCGAACGUGAAAUCCCCGAGCUCAACUCGGGAACUGCGUCCGAAUACUGGCAGGCUUGAAUCCGGGAGAGGAUGCGGAAUUCCAGGUGUAGCGGUGAAAUGCGUAGAGAUCCGGAAGAACACCGGUGGCGAAGGCGGCCUGACUGGGCAGUGGCUGGACACUGAGGCGCGACAGCGUGGGGAGCAAACA